rnacentral:rRNA from 2 species
AACUUUCAACAACGGAUCUCUUGGUUCUGGCAUCGAUGAAGAACGCAGCGAAAUGCGAUAAGUAAUGUGAAUUGCAGAAUUCAGUGAAUCAUCGAAUCUUUGAACGCACAUUGCGCCCCGUGGUAUUCCGCGGGGCAUGCCUGUUCGAGCGUCAUUAUGAC